rnacentral:rRNA from 1 species
CGCCAGACUCCUACGGGAGGCAGCAGUGGGGAAUAUUGCACAAUGGGGGAAACCCUGAUGCAGCGACGCCGCGUGAGUGAAGAAGUAUUUCGGUAUGUAAAGCUCUAUCAGCAGGGAAGAAGAAGGACGGUACCUGAGUAAGAAGCCCCGGCUAACUACGUGCCAGCAGCCGCGGUAAUACGUAGGGGGCAAGCGUUAUCCGGAUUUACUGGGUGUAAAGGGAGCGUAGACGGCGAUGCAAGCCAGAUGUGAAAGCCCGGGGCUCAACCCCGGGACUGCAUUUGGAACUGUGUGGCUGGAGUGUCGGAGAGGCAGGCGGAAUUCCUAGUGUAGCGGUGAAAUGCGUAGAUAUUAGGAGGAACACCAGUGGCGAAGGCGGCCUGCUGGACGAUGACUGACGUUGAGGCUCGAAAGCGUGGGGAGCAAACAGGAUUAGAUACCCCCGUA